UUUCAUGUUUUUCUAUUGUUUUCUUUUUUUGAGACAGAGUGGCUGGGGUAAGUGCUGAUGUAGGCCUAAACCACAGCCCGCAGUGUGGGACCGUCAGAGAGAUCCAGUUCAGUAAUGAUGUGUCCCUCCAUGCCUUCCCGCCAUGAUUUCCUCCACAGGUACUCAGAUUUCUACCAUGACAUCACAAUUAAUCCAACAUGGAUGCUUAAGGGGAAGCAUGGCUGCUCUUCAGAGGUCAGCGUUGAGGAGGACCAAAAGCAACGCAUGGGCCAUGUGAGGUUCAGCUUUCUAGGUGUCUGUAGAGAGAAAUGCUGUCUUUUGGGACCAUGGUCUUAAGCUUGUGGGGGCCCCCAGCAUCCAGGUUUUCCAGGCUUUCGCAAGGAAAUCCGGACAAACAGGAGUCAUGAUCAGGGGACAUGUCUGGUAUCUGGGUAAGUGAUGAUGUGCAUGGUAAACUCACCACAGACCAGGUAAUCUCCACAUAUCUAGGUAAGUGUGAUUCCUUUGUCUGAACGGUUUACCAUUUGAUGGGUUAACAGCUAUUUUGGAAAGAAAGGGGAGCAGCUCCCUAUUCUCCUUGCCAUGUGAUCCUGUUCAUUUCUGUCCUAGGGAGGAAGUUUGAUGUAUAUGCUCUGUCAGUGCUGAUUGUUUGAAAUGUACCCAGGGAACUCACGUGGCACUCUACAUCACAGGAGUAACUGCGGUGGAUUUGCAGGGAAGCUGGCCAGGAAAAAUGGUGUGUCCUAUGAUGGCCUAGACCUUGGAGGGCCUGCGAGCAUCCAGGUACAUUUUUGGCUCCCAUAAUAAUGAUAGCGAGCAGGCGGUUUGUAGGGUCCUGGUGAAAAAGCUGUGUCCUUAGUAACGUUUGUCACACAUGUGGUUUCAGAUUCAAGCAGGCAGAAGUUAGAGAAUGAGGGCAGCCUUGAGGUCUCUCCAGGAGAUUCAGGGUCCAUAGGAUUUGGUAGGGAUUCAGGUAUGAGAUGAUCGUGGCUGUCAUCAUUGUAGUGACCAUGGUAUUUUGAAGGAAUUCAAGGAACAGAUAAUGGACAUGUCCGUAACCAUGGUAGUGCCCAUGUGAUUUUGUAGUUAUAGAAUAAAAAUUACAGUGACCAUAUACAUGGUAAUGCCUAUGGGAUUUUAUAAAUAUCCAGGUAUGAAAUGAGUAUUUCUCCUUAGGAACUGGAUAUGGGAUGCCGAAGUUAUAAAGGUAGGAAAUGAUGAUAAACCUAACCAUGGGAUGACCAUGGUAUUUUCUUGAAAUCCAGAUAAGAGAAGAUGGUGGCUGUAACUCGAGUACCAAAAUUGGGUUUCGUGAGGUGGGCACAUAGGAGCUGAUAAUGUCUCUUUCCAUAUUAGUGAACUUGGCGUUUUGUGGUAUUCCAGAUGUGAUGGUGAACCUGACCACGAAAGUGACAGUGAGAUUUGUCAGGGGUUUGGUAAAGAGAUGAUGGUCCCCUUAAGCGUGAAGGUUAUGAUGAAAUUUUCUCGGUCAAUGAUGAAGAGAUGAUGGUGAUCCUAACCACUGUAGUAAACAAGGGGUUUGUUCAGUACAAAGAAAAGAAAUGAUGUGUCCCUAGCAAUGGCAUUUAAUAUGUGUAAUUUGCAGGUCUCUAUGUAUGGUAUUUCUAAAUCUGGUAGCUCUCAUGGGUUUCUAUAGGCAUCCACAGAGAUGACGUGUCACAAAUUUUAAGCAACUGCCACUCCUGUAUCCAAGGUAUUGUAUAAGUAUCCAGCUAAGAGCUCUGGCUCUAUAUAUUGGUUGGAUGUAAGACUUCCGUGUUAUCUCUUUCUUUCUUUCUUCGAGACAGCAUCUGGCUGAGGUAAGUGCUAAAGGGGGCCGAAACCACAGCCCGCAGCGUCGGACUGUCACAGAGACACAAUUCAGUGACCAUGUGUCCCUGCAUGCCUUCCCACCUUAUUCAGGUGGAAAGUGGUUGAAUCCUUACCAGUCACAGAUAGGUCGGGUUUUCCCAUUUUCUGUUUCAUUGAAAAUGUAUGCUGAACCCUGGGAGUGUUGAGGGAUUGCAGGGAGUCAGGUGUUUAUCACUUUAUUCCCCUGACCUGUGCUACCCCUUUAAUGUCUAUAGGGGUCCAGUUGAGAAGUGGUGGUUUUCUUCUAUCAGGGUCGACCUGGAAUUACUGCAAGUAUACAGGUUGAGUGGGUGUGUCCCCUAAAGAUGGAAAUAAGCAAGAUUUUUUGCAGGAUUCCUCACCAAAACCCUGUGUCCUUCUAUACAUGUGUGCUGGUGCCUCUUUCAGAUUCCUACCGUGACAUCACAAUCCAACAUGGGACCUUAAUGGGAAGCUCGGCUGCUCUGCAGGUUAGCAUGGAUGAGGACCGAAAGCAUCACAUGGGACACGUUGAGUUUCAGCUGUCUAGGUAAGUGAUGAUGGUGUAGGCCUCCCUGUUGUUCCCCUGAUUUCACUUCAGGUGUCCCAGUCAGAAAUGAUAAGAGUCCCUGGCAUACUUGAAACUGUGAGUUUUCCCUCUGCAUAUUUCAGAGAUAAUGCCUAACCCUGUGAGUGCACUGGGAUUGCAAUACCAGGUAACAUCCAUCGUUUUCAACCACAGCAGUGACCAUGAACGUUUUGCUAGUGUCCUAUAGAGAGAAAUUCUGUCUUCUGGGACCACAGCCCUGAGUUUGGGGGUCCCUGCCACCAUC
rnacentral:lncRNA from 1 species